CUCUGAACACCUGAUGGAGCUGAACUCCCUGUUCACUGCAGGGAGCUGGACCUGAUGGCUUUUAAAUUUCUGUUCCAACUCAGACCAUUCUAUGAUUCUAUGAAAUAGUCUCAGCUCCUUCCCAGGGCCACAUCCACCACCUCUUCACCCUUGUGCAGUCUUUGCAGUCAAGCUGCAGCUCCCCUUUCUGUUCCUAGUGCUCAGAUUCUCCUCCCCAUCUGUUGGUUGUUUUUUUUUUUUCCUACUUCUAAAGCCAUCCAUUUCCACUGGCAGAAUAGUCGCCAGGUUUGAGGCAAAAGCAGUGUUAAGAUUAUUGUUCAGCUGCUCCACACUUCAGUCUGGAAUGCUCCCCCCCCCCCCUUUCUUUUUUUUCCAGGAAUGUUGUAAGUAAAUUCAGGGCUGAACAACAGACCAAAUGGGAGCCGUCCGAGCUGCCCACGUUACAGCUUUGCUUGAGCUCAUGACGGCCAUCCCUCCAUCCAUCUCUUUGCUGCUUUUGUGCUGCUGUACAGCCAAGAUCGCAAACCUCACAGAGCUGGAGAAAGAAAACAAGCAAGGGCUCGGUGUGCCCAAAGCCAAAAAUAGGACCGGAUUGAACAGAGGAGCACGUGCAUAGGCUGGUGUCCAUGUGAGAGGUGGAAGAUUUGUGUUCCUCCUCCGGCUGGCUCAGAGGCUGCAGAUGGGUUCCUGAGGGAGUGCCCUCACCUUGGGCUGCUGGCUGUUCUGCGAUUCCCCCGCUCCA
rnacentral:lncRNA from 1 species